UCUAGAACUCGAGAUAUGGGCUGAACACUGAACAAUGUCUAGGUUGUAGGAUAAAUUUUGACUUCUCUGUUAUUGCUAAGAUUUGGACUUCCAAACAGCAGAAUUGAGUCUUGGACUCCUCAUGAAUGUUUUAGGUCUAUGUCUUAGCUUUCAAGC
rfam:Populus trichocarpa scaffold_24_contig_15, whole genome shotgun sequence.